UGAAAUCUAAUAUAUAUAUUUAUAUCAUGAAUUGUGCUAAACGUGUGAUUUUAAUUUAGUCUGGUCCAGAUCAUUUGUUGUAGAGCCGUCAUGGCUUUUAUCAAGCUCGCUGACCAAACUACUGUACGCUCAGUUAUUCUAUCUGCAAUUAAGCAAAAGAAUGAUGGGGGCCGUGAUGUUGGUGUGAGCACGUCCUGGUGACGGACCCACCAAUAAAUACGCCUUUAAACAACGUGUAACCACAUGAGCGGGGAAUCAGUAGCACGCUGGUUGGAGUGCUCGUGCACGGGUAGAAACGCCUUGCUGAAGCCCAAACACACACACACACACCUUUAUACACGGAUGAAUCAGCCUUAUCUUCUUCACACAGUCGCCCCAAGGCCCCCUGCAUACGCCUCACCAGAGAUAAUACAACACACACACACACACACGGGCCAUCAAACGCAGCGCGCUGUGGAGCGAGUUCAUCUGGUUCCUUGGUCGGCUGAAUGAUGAGCUGCUGUGUGUCGGCCACACAUUCAUCACGCUGCCGACGCAAACCGAUAACUCACAGGCGCGCUAAUGUACACACACAAAGAUCACACUUACUUAAUCGCUCCAUUCAUCAGACGCAAACAAACAAAUAAAAAGACACGCCGCCACACACGAACACAGAGACACGACCGAAGACAGACGAAAAUCAUUAAAAAGACGCUUGAAACAGUGCACACAUGUUCGGCCGCUUGGUUUCCUUGAUGUCGAAUAUUCAUAUAAACAAGUGCGUUCUGCUCAAACAGGCGCCAAUUUGCCAAGCGGCACGGAGUGUUUGUUUGUGCGCCGCGUGCACACACACACACACACACACACACACGUGUGCGUGCCAGCCCCUCCGUAAUCUAAUAGGCACUAAGUGAAAGAGGUUUUUCCAGGCAGACGGUAAAUAACCAACAAUGAUCAAAUCAAAUUUGGCUUUGGGUGUUAAAACCCGAUGAGGGUGAGAAGGUUGGUUUAGCAGAUACCGUGUGUGUACACGCGCACACACACACACACACACACACACUAUCCCUCUCAUACUGUAUCAGCACCAAAAACAUGCAGCCAGCAGCUGGUUAGCUUAGCAUAAUGCCUGGAUGAAAACAAGAUGACAUCUUGGAAAAGCCUUGGCUACAGAUGAUGAGAGGCCCCCUCCUGCAACAAAUCCACCACUGUUCCCUCCCGCUGUAUCUGUCUCACCCUUUACCUCCCCCACCUCCCCCACCUCCCCACCAUGCGCCCGCCACCCAACAAUACCCUCGGCCUUUACGUACAGGUGUGCCGUUGUGUGUGUGGGUGCAGGCUCCGGGUUCAGGUGCGACUGCAGCUGUGGUGUCGAGUCUGUGUAGUGUGCGCGUGUGUGUGUGUGUGUGUGUGUGUGUUUGUUUGGGGGGUGUCAAAGCCCUGAUUGGAUUACAGUGCACAUAUGUAGAGAUGUACUAAAUAUAACGGAGCAUGUACGGAGGCGGCCUACAGGCAGACUGUCCUUAUUGACACAUAAAUACAUAUUUAUAUAUAAAUAUAUAUAUAUAUAUACACACACGCACACACAUGCCCCCCCCCCCGCCUCUGGAUAGAGAAACCAAACAGCCUCCCCAAUUGGGUUUCGCUUAAGAGGUUUAUCAGUAUGUUGCUAAACAUUCUGACCUUUUUUUAAAAAUCUUUAAUGCGCUUAAAAUGUUACAACCCCCCCCUCUAAUCCACGGCUAUCCCACACAGAUGUUCUCUCGGCUCUUUUAUUGGACUUAAUUUCAACCUCUUCUCCGUUCCUCUUCUCCUCCUCCAGACUCCACACGUCUCUCUUCUCUCCUCAAACCCCCCGUCCCGGUUUCAUUUGUUUCCGGUUUGGAAACAACUCAUCACCUUCAAUCUUCCACCAGCAAAGCUCAUCUUUGCUUUUUUCCUUACUGGGCCUUGAAGCAGCUGAUUGGUUGAGCAGACCGCAUCUGUCUCGUCAAUGACCUUUGACCCCACCUUCUCCCGAAGGUGCCAGCUGAAGGUUUUUGUUGGACGUGUUUCAUUAGAGGAUGUUGGAUUUUGUGUAACGAGACAAAGUACUGCGCAUUCGGGUUGAGGUUUAUCUCAGUUGGGCUUUUCAGUGUGUGGGGAAGCUUCCCAGUAAUGUGAUGAAUAUCGUAUCCAAAUCGUUUUUGGUGGGCGGAAGUAUGUUUUAGCGCCCAUGGGCAUUUUUGCUGUUUACGCACGCAUACCACAAGCGGUGCAGGAACACACAAUAACAAUCUCAAACUCUUACUUGUUCUGUGAGGUCAAAUGUUUUGAGUUUUUUAAAAAGCACACAGAAAACAGCUCUCGAUCCCCAAAAAUGUACAAAAAUGUUCUACAUAGAAAAACAGUUGGUUUUGGCUUUCAGGCUAAAAUCCGUGCUGCCAGUUAACGUCAGAUCAACACUCAGCUCUUCUCCCGUCCGACUUAUAAUAAAUAGUUCCAAUCACAUCCUUCGGCCACCCUGAAUACGCUGAGUGACGCGUGGACGAGCCGCCUGUGGCCUGCGAUGAAUGACCGCGUCCUUCCAACAGCACUAAUGUCCUGUGACCGGAGAGACGGCCCGCUGGCUCUCAGCGGAGCGUUCAAAGACCGUAGGAGUAACACGCUCUUUUUCUUGUUCUUGUUUUUUUCCUCUGGCUGUUUUUGCCGCUCUUCUUGGUGAAUUAUUUUGGCCUCCAUAUCCGCGGCCUCCCUGUCGAACCAGCAGGUUCUGCCGGUCCCCUCCGGCGCCGCACGCCGCCCUGUGCUCCGCGUUCGGCGUGCGGAGAAACGUGUGUGUGUGUGUCUCCACGUGACAGCGUGCGAACACGCGGGCCCCGGAACAAUAAACACAUCCCUCGGUGCAUGUGUGACGUUCAUGUGUGUGUGUGUGUGUGUUUUGGGUUUGUUUCUUUUUCCAUGCGGAGCACAUGUUGAGAUAAAGGCCGUAAACAGCUCUGAGUGACAGGCGGAGAACGGAGGGGGGAGGGGGGGGGGGCGCUGGAAGCCAGUCAGAGUGGUGGGUGCAGAGUGUCAGUCUACACAAUGUGCAGCGUUCUUUGUGUUCAUUUGAAAUGGCCAGGAUGAUUGAUAUCCGACAGACAUGAACACAUUUACGUCGACCUUUAGAAGCUUUUACACUUCGACGCCCAAACUCUACGGCAACCACGUGGUGGUCAAAACCACGCCAUGUCUUCCUGAGGAACAGAAAAGCAGCAACUUGCUGCGAGUUGCAUCACUUUUACAAAAAGACUAAUACAUAUUGAUAAUUAGAGGAAGAAAAACAAAGCAAAAUCCUUUUUUCUGCAACAAACAUUGCUGCGUUGGAAAAAAAACAGGAGAGUGACAAAAUGAAGGAAACUAUGUUCAAACUUUUUAAUCUAAUGAUUUUUUUAUUAUGCUUGAUUUCUUCCUGUGGAGAAGCUGAGGCUCAUAAAAAAAACACCGAGCUCGAGCCAAAUGGUUGGUUAGCAGACGAGAUGUCAUGCUAGCCAGACAUGCUGGACGGGCGGGCCACGCCUGAGGAGGAAUCUCGCCAUUUAAUGGGCCUGCGCCGCCCAGCUGAUUCACCAGCGCCAUCGCAGCCUAAUAGGCUCGGUUCUGGUGAAUCACUCCAGGUUUCCUUAAUGGAAAAGCCAAACACGCCGCUCCAACGCUGGGUGACAAGGGCACCUUGGGUUUGCAGAUGUUCACGCAGAUGACAGAUGGCGCCGACGUAGCUAAGGGAGCAACGGGAACGAUGUCUGCGCCAGGCUGGUGCCACAUGCCCCCCCCCCCCCGUCCUUCCCUCUGCACUGCAAAAUCCCCCCACCAACCCAUCCCAAAGUAUCGCAUAGCUGUGGUGCAUGAGACGGUGAGUGGAUGAACAUGCGGUGACUCAGCACCAUGCGGGUCAAGGCUCCGGCGUGUCCCACGCGUGCGGAUCCUGGUGUCACCGGGUUAAAUCCGGGUGGCAGCUUCUUUCCUUUGGAAACUCAACGUGCCGACGGGUGAAGGUUGCGGGAAGGUCGGAAGGUUAAAAUUGACGCUCGCUUUCUCUCUCCUGGGUAACUGUCGUCAGAACCUCUCUGAGUUCAUUCACUGUGUACUAACAGGUUCGUGUGAUACGCCACCAAAUGUAACUCAUCAUUUCUUUCUUGCUAAAGGCAGCAACACACGUCAACUUUCGUACUGUUUUCACAGGAAUAGAGAUGUAGGUUUAGGUAACAAAACUGCCAAGUUUAGGAAAAGAUUGUUGUUUUGGUAAAAAAAAAAGAAGAAAAAGUGUUGUAACAAUACUGUGUGAGAAAUAAGUCAACCUUGACUUGAACCGGCGUCCUGUAUUGUGUAAAAUGGAGGUUAAUGACAAUAUCAGCAGCAAUAUUGCAGAUUCAAACUCAAACCCAGCACGAAACCCGAACGGAACCUGGCUCUUCCUCCAGCCGCCACUAAAGGGCAUACGAGUUCAAACAGGAGGGCGUCCUAAAAGACAAACUAACAGGUCUGUGAGAGCCCGAAUUCUUACUGGUUGGUAGGUGAUCAAAUGUCAUGCAAUAAACUGCUAAAUAUUGUUUGAAAAAUCAUACAGUGUGGUUUUUUGGACUUUUGUUCCGUCACUCACAGUUGAAGAGAACCUAUGAUGGAAGAGACAGACUCCUACAUGCUUUGUGUGGGAAAACCUGCAAAAUCGGCAGUGUGUAUCAUAUUCUGAAUAUUGUAUAUAUAUAUAUAUACACACACAUAUACAUACAUAAAUUCAUUAAUACACUGAAUUGUUUGAAUAAGAUGUCCUUGUUAUGUUGGAAUAAAUGUUAAAUAUUUAACUGCAAAGUAAUAAUAAUAAUAAUAACCUCUUUUUUUGCAUUGAAUCUGGGAUACUGGGAUGUUUGCUGAAAUCGAUUGGCUGGCCCUCCCAACAUAUAAAGAAUCCACCAGGCGCCACUGCUUUAGGCGCUUCUAUAAUUGAUUUAACGCACAAUUCUUUUUUCACAAACAUUUGCAUAAAGCUUCUCACAGGGAGCAGAAAUGAUGCUAAGAGCAACUUUGAGGAGAAUCACUAAAAGAAACACAUUGUUUCCCAUUAGCAACAAUAAGGAAAUGUAUCUCCGUCAUUGGUCACUACUCGGAAACUUAUCGCUUCUGGCGGGAGAUUUCAGUUGCAACCCAUGAUAUUUUACAACAAUGCCAACUGGAAGAGAAAAAAAACACAAAACAGCUCUGUUGACCGAGUGAUCAAGUGGCACUUAGAGUCCGAGUGGGACAAAGCUUGGUGAUUAGCUCCCUCGUGUGCGGAAUGAAACAUUCAGCG
ensembl:lncRNA